GUCCCGGAAGCGGAUCGCGGUGUGUGAAGGUGACACCGCCGAGCAAGAGUGUGCCUAGGUGUAGAUUAAGCCUUCGAUUCGCCGUCCCGCUUUUCCACACCCGCUCUGCUGACCUUAAAAUCCCCGCAUCGCGCCCUUCACCCGAGGUAAAUACGGACCUCGCCAUGUGGGUAAAACUCGCUCUGAGACCAGUCCCUGUCCCCUGCCAUUCGCGUCUUCUUCCCGCAUAAAACCCUUUCCUGACCCCUCCUCCCGCCCCGCGCUUUUUAAAGUCCUCACCUGCGAGGUGGAUUCCCGUCCUGAGCGCCUCCCAGCCUCUCCGUCGUCGGCCCUGGAGCGCAGCGCCGCAGACCGCGUCCUCCGCCUGGUCCUAGGCUCCUGCAGACCCUACCCUGUCCUAAGGCGCCGUCGCCCCCCACCUCCCUCCUCCUCGUGCCGGGCCCUGCUGCUCCCCAGGCCUCCCCUUCGCAGUCACCGCUUCCCCUGCGCCCGCGUUGGGGAGGUGCCCGGGGCCUGUCCUGUGACACCCGGUGUUCUUGCCUGCCCAGCUCCACCCGCUGGAAAAUGUGCUCCUCCAGGAUCCAGGUGUCUUACUCCAAACCCUCCUGUGAAUGUGUGGGCCAAAGGGAUCAGGAAACAGAGAGGGGCUGAGAGUGAAUUACAAAAACUGAGAGGAAAGAAUGAAGGAAACCCAUAAACACAUGGCAAAGUAGAGGAUGGGUCGGGAUUCGCAGAGACGGGAAGAGCGAAAGAAGGAUCCAGGCGCGGUGGCUCACGCCUGUAAUCCCAGCACUUUGGGAGGCCGAGGCGGGUGGAUCAUUUGAGGUCAGGAGUUCGAGACCAGCGUGCCCAACAUGGUGAAACCCCCGUCUCUACUAAAAAUUAGCCGGAUGUGGUGCUGCACGCCUGUAAUCUCAGCUACUCUGAGGGUGAGGCAGGCAAAUCGCUUGAUCCCGAGAGAGGGAGGUUGCAGUCAUCGGAGAUCGCGCCACUGCACUCCAGCCUGGGCGAGAGAGCAAGACUCCACGUCAAAAAUGUUUUUAAUUAAAAAAAAUAAAAAUGUAUUUCUCUUAAUUUUCUUCUUGCCUCCCUGAUCACUUUACACUUUUCUCUUCUAGUAUGUCUUGAGCUCUGUUUUCUGAAUGUGGAGUGACCCUCAGCUUACCCCUCGGACUUCUGAUCUCUGCCCACACCCACUGCCCUUAUCAUCUCAUCUCAUGGCUUUAAACCCACCUACACGGCUCCAUGUUCCCUGCAGACCUCUCCCCUGAACACUGGAAUCCUGUGUCC
rnacentral:lncRNA from 10 species